GUGAGUAACGCGUGGGUAACCUGCCCUGUACACACGGAUAACAUACCGAAAGGUAUGCUAAUACGAGAUAAUAUACUUUUAUCGCAUGGUAGAAAUAUCAAAGCUUUUGCGGUACAGGAUGGACCCGCGUCUGAUUAGCUAGUUGGCAAGGUAACGGCUUACCAAGGCGACGAUCAGUAGCCGACCUGAGAGGGUGAUCGGCCACAUUGGAACUGAGACACGGUCCAAACUCCUACGGGAGGCAGCAGUGGGGAAUAUUGCACAAUGGGCGAAAGCCUGAUGCAGCAACGCCGCGUGAGCGAUGAAGGCCUUCGGGUCGUAAAGCUCUGUCCUCAAGGAAGAUAAUGACGGUACUUGAGGAGGAAGCCCCGGCUAACUACGUGCCAGCAGCCGCGGUAAUACGUAGGGGGCUAGCGUUAUCCGGAAUUACUGGGCGUAAAGGGUGCGUAGGUGGUUUCUUAAGUCAGAGGUGAAAGGCUACGGCUCAACCGUAGUAAGCCUUUGAAACUGGGAAACUUGAGUGCAGGAGAGGAGAGUGGAAUUCCUAGUGUAGCGGUGAAAUGCGUAGAUAUUAGGAGGAA
rnacentral:rRNA from 1 species